rnacentral:tRNA from 1 species
UGGAAUGUAGCUCAGUGGUAGAGCAUGUGCUUCCCAUGUAUGAGGUCCUGAGUUCAAUCUCUGGCACCACAA